rnacentral:rRNA from 1 species
UACAGAGGGGGCAAGCAUUGUUCGGAAUUACUGGGCGUAAAGGGCGCGUAGGCGGCCUGUUAAGUCGAACGUGAAAUCCCCGGGCUCAACCUGGGAACUGCAUCUGUGACUGCAUCGCUGGAGUGCGGCAGAGGGGGAUGGAAUUCCGCGUGUAGCAGUGAAAUGCGUAGAUAUGCGGAGGAACACCGAUGGCGAAGGCAAUCCCCUGGGCCUGCACUGACGCUCAUGCACGAAAGCGUGGGGAGCAAACAGG